rnacentral:rRNA from 1 species
AGUGAACGCUGGCGGUAUGCCUAACACAUGCAAGUCGAACGGCAGCACAGUAAGAGCUUGCUCUUACGGGUGGCGAGUGGCGGACGGGUGAGGAAUACAUCGGAAUCUACUUUUUCGUGGGGGAUAACGUAGGGAAACUUACGCUAAUACCGCAUAUGACCUUCGGGUGAAAGCAGGGGAUCUUAGGACCUUGCGUGAUUGAAUGAGCCGAUGUCGGAUUAGUUAGUUGGCGGGGUAAAGGCCCACCAAGGCGACGAUCCGUAGCUGGUCUGAGAGGAUGAUCGGCCACACUGGAACUGAGACACGGUCCAGACUCCUACGAGAGGCAGCAGUGGGGAAUGUUAGACAAUAGGCGCAAGCCUGAUCCAGCCAUACCGCGUGGGUGAAGAAGGCCUUCGGGUUGUAAAGCCCUUUUGUUGGGAAAAAAAAGCAGCAGGUUAAUACCCCGCUGUUCUGACGGUACCCAAAGAAUAAGCACCGGCUAACUUCGUG